UGCUAGUUCUAAUGGACGUUUGUAUAGAAGGAACAUUACUACAAGAUUUUAUCAAAUCUUAUAUUAUUACAACUUUCCAAACACGACAAGCCAUAUAAUGCAAUAUAUAUACAGUAUCAAUCCAUAGAUGAUCCAGUAAAUUCCAUAUAUCGCGGUAAGUUUCGCCCCUUUCAAUUCUAAAAUAACUACUUUCUUGUAAUGGAAAAAAUAUGUUUUGAGUGAUGUGGCGGUGUAAACUUUUUUUUUUUUGUUCAACAUGUGGCGGUGUAAACAGAACGCAAAAUCCAAGCUGGUUAGUAUUUUUCCACAUGUCAUCGUCCAGUUUAUCCAACGGAUGCAACUCAGAUAAACAGACUCACGUGGCAACAUCUAAGCGUCCCAAAUGCCAACAAGGCAUGUAAACGCUAAAACAAAACGCUAUUUCUUAUUAUUAUUAUUAUCACCACUAGAAAAUAAUCGCUUCUUCCUUUUAUUUUUCUGUCGUAAAAAAAUCAUAGUAUUAGAAUUACACUGAAAAAGAAACGAAAACGAAAAUUUCAAUAAAGUCAGGGAUAUUAAAUACUUGGUCAGUUGAUUACGUAACAUGUACAAUAGAAAAAACAAUAAAAUUCCUGAUAUUGCAUUUAUUGGGACACUGCAUAAAACCACAUGCAAUUUUUCUCUAUGAUUAUUUUCUCUUUUUUUUUUUUUGGUUAAACUGGUCAAAAAAAUUACCAUUGACUCAUGAAUGUUUGGUGCUUUUAUUUCCUAAAAAAUAAAAUGAAAGUGAGAAGAAAGGUUGUGUUAACCGAGAAGUUAUGGUAUAGUGGUAAUAGAAUUUCAGUUGGAGUGUUCGUUCUAGGUUUCAGUCGUUUUAGUCACCUUUCUACCUAUAAUUUUGCAUGUCUGAAUGGAAAACCUCAUGGAGAUUAGUCUGAAUUUAUGGUCUGGAAUCCUCAGCGGAUAAAAGAAUUUGUAUUAAUUAAAAUAUUGUACAUGGGAAUCCAAAACUCAUAAUAUUAAAAAAAAAGGAAAGCCGACACAAGUAUAAAAGAAAUUGUAGGUAAAUAAAUAAAUAUAUUUUCAAGGCAGAAAAGAGUAUAAUUGUCCCCUAUCGAGAGAGAGAAAGAAGAAGAAGAUGAAGAAAGCUCCUUUGUCUGGGACAAACAAAAGAAGCCCGAAAAAAGAAGAAGAAGAAGUCUCACAAGCGAAGCCGCCUUCGGUGUGGAUCAAACUCCGGUGGAAUCUCAGCCGUUGAAACAGAGACUAGAGAGAGAGUUGAGGGUUAAAUAAUUAGUAUAUUUCUCGGGCAAUGAGGUUUUGAUCUUUUCUAGGGAAGAGAGUUGAGAAAAAAAAGGUUUGGUGGAAAAAAAAGAUCCAGAAGCGGAGGUGAUAGCCUUGUCACCCAAAACUCUGAUGGCAAAGAACCGAUUCGUGUGCGAAAUCUGCAACAAAGGCUUUCAACGAGACCAGAACCUCCAGCUCCACCGUCGCUCCGAAUGAUCAUAGUAGUAACCACAACAACUACAGCUUGUUUGCAUCAUCUACAGCUUCCCCUAGUUUAUUAUAUGCAUCCUCAACUCCUCCUCCUCCUUCUUCCACAAGUCUAUUCGCACCAUCUUCCUCCAUGGAACCCAUCUCUCUCUGUCCUUCUUUGUUCGCAUGGCACAUGAUCCACCACCUCACUUCCUAACCCCUAUGAGUCUUCCUCCACCACAGCCAGCGAUGUCAGCAACCGCAUUGCUCCAGAAAGUUGCCCAAAUGGGUUCCACGGGCUCAGGUGGCUCGUUAUCGAGUGCUUCGUCGUCAUCCAUGGAACUCGAUCUUGGGCUGGGACUACUACCUUGUAGCAGCAGCGGAGGAGGAUCGGGGGGCCUGAAAGAGCUAAUGUUGGGGAACUCUUGCGUGUUUGGUCCGAAACAGACAACGCUUGACUUUUUAGGUUUGGGAAGAGCUGUUGGUAAUGGAAGUAGUAACCCCGGUGGAGGGUUGUCAGCUCUGUUUGGGACGGCGGGGGAGUUUUCAGGCAAAGACAUUGGUAGAACAAGUUCCUAAGAGAGAGUAGAAGAAGAGUGUAGUUUAUAAGAGUAUAUGUUUUGGUAUUUUUGUUUAAUAGUGAAAGCAGCAGGCAGCUCUAGUGUUGUUGUUCCCCCAGUGUGAAUUUUAAUCAUAAAGUACAUAAAGCUUAUAGCUUAGCAGAAACAACAACAACAGUUAAUUUUCGAUU